rnacentral:rRNA from 1 species
AUUGAACGCUGGCGGCAUGCUUUACACAUGCAAGUCGGACGGCAGCACAGAGAAGCUUGCUUCUUGGGUGGCGAGUGGCGAACGGGUGAGUAAUAUAUCGGAACGUACCGAGUAAUGGGGGAUAACUAAUCGAAAGAUUAGCUAAUACCGCAUAUUCUCUGAGGAGGAAAGCAGGGGACCUUUGGGCCUUGCGUUAUUCGAGCGGCCGAUAUCUGAUUAGCUAGUUGGUGGGGUAAAGGCCUACCAAGGCGACGAUCAGUAGCGGGUCUGAGAGGAUGAUCCGCCACACUGGGACUGAGACACGGCCCAGACUCCUACGGGAGGCAGCAGUGGGGAAUUUUGGACAAUGGGCGCAAGCCUGAUCCAGCCAUGCCGCGUGUCUGAAGAAGGCCUUCGGGUUGUAAAGGACUUUUGUCAGGGAAGAAAAGGCUGUUGCUAAUAUCGACAGCUGAUGACGGUACCUGAAGAAUAAGCACCGG